UACGGAGGGUGCAAGCGUUAUCCGGAUUCACUGGGUUUAAAGGGUGCGUAGGCGGGUUGGUAAGUCCGUGGUGAAAUCUCCAAGCUUAACUUGGAAACUGCCGUGGAUACUAUCAAUCUUGAAUGUCGUGGAGGUAAGCGGAAUAUGUCAUGUAGCGGUGAAAUGCUUAGAGAUGACAUAGAACACCAAUUGCGUAGGCAGCUUACUACACGAAUAUUGACGCUGAGGCACGAAAGCGUGGGAGCAAACAGG
rnacentral:rRNA from 1 species